GCCACUGCGUAGUUGGUGCUGUGUAGCUGGUGGCUGGCCGGCUCCGAGGAGCACUGCUUGCGAGAUACUUUUUAAAUGUAAGAAUUUAUUUUUGCAGCUGACCUCAUUUUUCCCCUGUAGGUCUGACAACUAGUUGAAUUUUCAUUUUCAGAUGUGGAUUGUUAGUUCUUGUCCUUCUAUGCUCAUGUUUUCUUUUUGUGUGUGAUUGUGUUUUCUAUGUUUUAAACCAGUGAACUUAAUCUUGGCAGCUCUCAUGUUAUAGAAAUUGUGUUUCUGUUUUUCUACCACAAAACGCCUCACUGAGGAAGAAAACUCACCCCUCCAAACCUGAUGUUCACCCAGCCAGCCCCUCUGCUCUCUCCCAGGACAGGAGUCCCUUCAGCAGGACACACGGACUGCAGGUCCUAUGCAGCCCCAAACUCUACAGUUUGGGGACUUUAAAAAAAAAACAUUUUUUUUUUUAGUGCAUUUUGGCUGAAAUAUAGGAAAACUGGUGUCCAGUGAGAUGACGUGGGUUCUUGGAUAGAGACAUUCCUAUUUGAGGUCUCUCAGAGAGGGCUGGUGAGCAAGGAGAGGGCUUGGGGCUGGGACCUUUGGCCUUUGGCCCUGUCUGCAUCCAGGAGUGGUCAGGCCAAAUAUUUACAGGGCCCCUUCAGAGUCCCUGCUGUCCAUGGGGUCAAAAGGGACUACCUCUCUCUUGUUUCUGACACAGGGAAUCCAUGUCCUCUCUCUUCCUGGUGAGCCUGGCUGGAGGUUUACUUAUCUUUUAGCUUUAUUAUCUUUUGAGAGCCAACUUUUUUUAUUUGAUUUUCUCUAUAUUUCCUGUUUUCAAUUUCAAAGAUUCUGUUCUAAUUUUCAGUUUUUUUUUUUUUUUUCCUGCCUUAGGUUUAAAUUGCUCUUCUUUAUCCUGUUUCUCAAAGGAGAAGUUUAGAUGGUUGAUUUUAGGUCUUCUCUUUGUAUCUUUUUUGUGUGUGUUGGCACUGGGGUGGAGGCCAGGACCUCUGGCCCGCUAGGCACGUGCUCUUCCACUGAGCUACACCCCCAGAUCUUCUUUUUUUUAAAAACAAAAGCAUUUAAUGCUGUGAAUUUCCCUCUACAUAUUACUUUGCUGCAUCCCAUAAAUUUUGAAAAGUUGCUUUUCCAUUUACAUUGAGAUCAAACUAUUUGCAAGUUCUCCUGAGGCUCCUUUUUCUCCCGUGUGUGUUAUUGAGAAGGAUGUUGUUUGAUCUUCGAUCCUGUGGAGACUUUUGCAGGUGUGUGAUUUCUGUUGUUAAUUCUCGUGUGGCCUGAGCGCUUUGCAUGAUUUCUGUUCAUCUAACUCUGUCGGCUGAUCUCAGGGUGCAGAGUGUGGUCUCCUUAGGGGGAUAUUCCCUGUGAGCUUGUGAAGAACCUGUCCCCACUCCUGCUGUGUGGAGGAGACUGUCCAUGAGACCGGCUGAGCCCUGGUCCGUCCAGGUCAGUCAGACCAGUACUAAUUUUCUGUCUGCAGGAUUGGUCGGUGACGGGAGGAGGGUGUUGACAGACCUUUCUGUAGGCAUGGAUCUCAUUCUCCCUGCAUCUCUGUCAUUUCUUGCCUCCAGCGAGAGACCCUGCUGUUAGGGAUGUGCCUGGUGAGGGGCCUUGUGUCCACUCUUCUCAGUGUGGCCACCAGUGUCUUUCUGCCUCCCUUUACAGCCCAUCUGAGUCUUUAUACUUAAAGUGGGUUUCUUGUAUGGUUAGGUCUUGUUUUUUUAUCCUCUGACAAUCUCUUGUCUUGAGCUGUGUACUUAAACUAUUCACAAAGUGAUUUUUUAAUACACUGGUAAAUAUCUACUGUGUUUGUAAAUAAUCUCUCGGGGUCAGCCUCUCUGUGUCUCUCCCUCUUGCCUCAUCCACUGAGAAAACUACUUAUCAGUGUUUUCCCAGUGAUGUCCUGAGUAGUCAGCCGGCAUCUUGUCUAGCUGUAUGUGCAGCAAACACUUCCUGCUGGGGGCAGUGGCCACGACUGUCGUCCCAGCUGCUCGGGAGGCUGAGGCAGAAGGACCACAGGUUCAAGGCCAGCCUGGGCAACUUAGUGAGACCCUGCCUCAAGAUAAAAAUAAUUUUAAAAAGGGCUGGGCCAGAGUGCUUGCCUAGCAUGUGCAAGGUUGGGAUCCAAUCCCAGCAUCACAGAAACAAAACAAAACAAGAUAAAUGCUUCUUCGUACCUGGGUGAGAACCCGGUGUCCAACACUGGGGCAGUACAAGUUUAAAUCAUGGCCCACUGGCCUGGAGGAGUGCCAUGCAGCAGGUAAAAGGGCCAGUACAUGUGUAUGUCCAGAAAUAGAACAAACCCUAACAGAUAUUGCUAAGUGGUUCACAGGCCAACAUGCACGUUAUGAUUCUUUCACGUCAAGACCGUGUGUGUGCAUGUGUAACACAAAGGAGAACCUCUGGCACAGUGGAAACUGGUGUGCUGAUGGUGGAUUUGGGAAAUCGAAGAAGUAUUAGUUACAUUUCUUUAAGACAAUAAGUGUAUUCAUAUAUUCACGAAUGUGUGAAUGCUUGUUUUUUAAACAAGCAUUUUUAAAAUGAAAGGCUUAAAAUUGCGUUCCCUCAGAAGAGAACAUCUGCAUGGCUUAGGAACCUUCUGGAACCUUGUCAUGGGCUCAUCUGCUGUAGGCCCACAGGGCCAUGAUGUCCCCAGAAGCAGCCAGUCUCAGCGCUGUGUCCCUCCAGUCUCCCAGACUCUGGGCACAGUGAUUCCAGGUGGACAGUAUUGGCUAGAAGGUGGACACUGAGGCUCACAGGACAGGAGCCUUGGCUGGCCAGGGUAGAGCUGGAGCCCCCAGAACUUUGGGGGCAGAGUAGCCGAGUGCUGGAGUACGUUGGGGGGCCUGUGGGGAGGCACGCUGGUGAGGGUGGCUGGUGUGUCCCUGGGCUGCUUGCUUAGGAUUUCCAGAGGCCCAUGGGCCUGGGGGCUUUCACGAGGUUGGAACAGACUGCAAUUUUCAGGAAGGGCUUAAGGACCCAGGGGCAUUGCCCCUUGAGGGCUCCAGGCAGCCUGCUGGUUAUUUUCCAGGAAUGACUGGCUUUUCUGCCAAUUAGACGUUGUGUCAACUGAAACGAGCCAGGGCUGGAGCCCUCAGUGGCCUUAGGUAACAAUGGGAUCCAAACCCAUUCGAUUCAUGACCUUGAAGCCCACUCUUUCUGUUUCUCCUGGAGAUGAGGAGCCCACGCAUGCAGAAUCUCUGGUUGCAGUUAUGCCCCAGGUAAGCAAGGGCAUCCCACCUGAGGGAGGCGGGCCUUCCCCAUGCCCUUGGGCCUCCCCCAUGCCAUUUGGCCUCCCCCAUGCCCUUGGGCCUCCCCCAUAACCUUGGGCCUCCCCCAUGACCU
rnacentral:lncRNA from 1 species